GAUCUCUUUCCAUACUUAGCUCCACCUUCGCUCCCUCCCACACACUUUUACGUAGCCCAAGAAAUCCUCUCGCACGAUCCUCGCAAUAACUACAGAAUAUAUCCUUCCCCAAUUAUCGCUUUCCUUGCCCGAGCGAGAUCGUGGUCCCUUCUCCCCUCCUCCCUCCCACAGCUCGCUCAGGUUUUCUUCCGCUACACCUAUCCUCUUCCGGCCUCUUCCUGGAGCCCUCGGCUUCGUGCUCGUAGGAAUCGGAGGCGGUGACGCUCGACGUUGUCACGUCGAGGCUGGAUCUAGGGGACAGGCAGGCGGCGCUCGUCACGGGAAGAGGAGCAUGUAACUCAUGGAGUCAAAGCUUGUGUGGGGCCGUUUGGCGACGCUCGACCGCGGCAGGGAGGCGAGGACGCGUGAACGCAUAUGUGCCUGCUCGCCGAGCGUCGCGACGUUGACGGGCUGGGGCUUGAUGUCGAGGCCCUCCGCUUCCUGCACCUCUUCGUGUCGAUGGCCAGAGGCACACACCGGUACUAGAAACACGAUGGCCAGAGAUGAUGAUCCAAAAUGCAUAGAAACAUGGGUAGAGAUGGGAAACUGUGAAAGCGAUGGGAACUAUCUGGAAUACAGGAUUGAGCGAUCUAGCAGAUACUUAUGAACUUCUGAAGCUCGGUUGUUCAGAUUAUCAUGGAUGAGAUGAUAAGGAAGCGCCUGAUAUAGCUUUCAAAAUUGAAGUUGGGUCGCCGAAUUGAGGCCAAGGCCCAUGUUGUUCUGCAUUUUUACAGAUGGUCUUCUGUGAUCAAAUUGGCGUCUCAAUGUAAGGACUGAAGUGAUAUAGUUAUCUUGUUUCAGUUGUUUGCUUUUGCUUAUUGAUAGAGAUAAUUAUUCCCUAUUCAGUAGAGAUGCUGUCCAAUGAGAGAGUGUCCAUGGCGAUUUUAUCCCGUCCACCCAGCAGUAUGAAACGAGCACACACAUAUGUGUUCUAUUCCAUCCACCUAAGUUUAUGAAUCGAUCUUUCUUCAAGAUAUUUAUGGAAUUUCACCGGUUUCUAUGAUUUAGUGUUGUGUUGUCAAUGUCAUCAGGCUCUGGAUGAUUAGCAUUCCACCAACUAUAUUCCAUAUAUAUAUAUGUAUUCUUCAGUUCAACAAGGAUGCUGAUAUGAUGAUUGAGGAAAUGAAGCUUAGAGUUGUCUACACAUUGCCCAGUGGAAGCUCAGACAACAACGGAGUUACAUCUUUGGCAUACAGGAGCUUCAGGAACUUCAGGCAGGGCACUAUGAUUUCUCGGUGAGAUUGGCUAGCUUUAUGUUCUAUGUAGGAAACAUAUGUUUUGCUAAUAAAUUUGUAGUGCAAAGGCUAACUGUAUCUGCACAAGAGCCGAACCUGAAGAAGUUGAGGGCCCAUGCAGCGAUUUCAGAACCUAGGGAAAACUAGACUGACUGGUCUUCAAGAAAUAAAGGGCAACAGUAAAAAAUUAUCCAUUUAUAUUGAAUUAGGAACAAUCUUCUAGCACACACAUCUGGUUUGACAUUUUGACAUUUAUAUGGAUAGAAACAUGAGCAGACGCCUACGACCAGACGCCAUCGCUUCACACGGUCGCCUUUCGGCCAUAAGAUUCACCGGCGGGGUACUUGGAGCAGGGAGCCACGGAUAGAAACUGACACACCUUAUAUGCAUUAUGCGGAACAAUCGGUACUACUUGUUUUAGGAGUAUGGUUCAAAAAUUUGGUACCGACAAUGAUUAGGUUCCAACGAUUCAGUAACCCUUAUUUAUAUGCAGGAUAAAUUCAGUAGGAAAAGUAACCAACAGAAUCUGGGUACAAUAAAAUGGAAACAAAUUACUUCUAGCCCGAACAUUAAAUUCCAGCAUAAUUCUUUUGUGUCAUUAUGUGUGUCUGGGUGUAACAUAUGCAACUUUGAAGGUGACGCUGGCGAGGCAUUACUAUAUCUUUCUAAGCUUCCACUCUGUGUUAUUUUGUUUGUUCUGGAGAUUCAUAAAUAUUUCUAUUUUCCGCUUCAGUAUUCACUGAAAGGCUGGACUACGUUUACCUUUUGUUCUUUAAAAUGGUAGUGUUUGUAAUUCGUUUCCCGACAUUUUGUGCAUCUUCUCGAUUCUGGUGGAUUGAACUCAUGUAAGCUAGCUUUGUAACAUUUGGCUGCACGUAUAAACUGAUCUUAACACAUCCGUUUGGACUUUUGAUUUUAUUUUGUCCUCGUAAUUUGCAGAUUCACAUUUUUCCCACCUUUUUGUUUGUUAGUAAAAUACUUUAGAACUUAUAUACUAGCAAUAGAAUAUUAGGACAAACUUUGGGUGGCACUAGGUGCAGCAAAAAAUGGUGCCAUGGCAGCGGAAUUGGACUGACGCUACAGUUCCCACUUUUAAAGGUUCGGUUGACCUUUUCCAUGUCAUUUAUCUUGUGAUUGUAGCCCAUUUCUUUUGUAAGUGAUCAACAUUAAUACUUGGUUUUGUUACUCAAGGAUGUUGGACACUGGUUAAGUAUUACAGGCGGAUUAUGUUGGCUUAGUUUGCUACAAUUUAUGCCCGUUAAGAGAAUAGUGGAUACAACUAUAAUAUCUAUGUAGUGCAUUUUUUAGUAAUGUAGAAGCUUCUAAAUUAUUGACUGUGAGUAUCUCACACAAACUUAUCUACUUUUUCUAUGCUUUGUGAUUCUAUCGUGCCCUAUCUUUAGAAGUCACUCUGAUUCAGUUAAUUCAAUGCCCAGCAAUAUCAUCAAUUCAACAAGCAGUUACUCGAAAUUCCAUCGCCCCAAAUGGCAUAGGAUACCUCGGGCGUCCAACUUCUGGCAUAAGUUUUUGUGCAUUCAAAAAUUUAGGAACCUGAACCACAAGGGCAAAUGGAAGGCACCUUUGAUCGGUAAUCCAGAGUACAUGGAUGAUUCUUACACCUAUGCUUUUGAUAGGCUGAUGCACAUUGGCGUUGAGCCAAGGUAGGUUAGUGCUUCACAAGGACCAGCUCUAAGCAUGACUUGUGCAGAUAUGGGAAAGAAGCCUAGGUAGGCCUCCUUUCUGAAGAAAAAAUAUAUAUGGGAAAGAAGACUAGAUGAAAAAUCUUGGGGAAGACUUUGGUGAAGAAGAACAAGGUGAAUUUUAUCUGUUCAACAAAAUCAAGUUUGUUCCUGCACUUUGAUGUUAUGAAUCACUGUGUAGUAAGCAGGAGUGCUUCUCAAUCAAUAUUUUAUAUGUUUGUUAGAAAUUGAAGAAACAAAUAUCUAUCUGGCAGUCUAUAAUGGGUUUUGAGGCUGGUUCAUUGCUACACAUAUAGUGGAGAGCUUCCUAAAAAUUGGAGGGGACUUGUUGUAGCCUUAUAAUGUAUUAUCUCGGGUAUUACAUUUCUCAUUCCAUUUGCCAACAUUUUGAAUGAGUUUAAAUGUUAGCACUCUUAGACAAUUGACAAUGUUUAUUCAAAAGAUUAUACUGCAGUUCUACGUGAGUUUCUCAUCAUAAUUCUUUAAAUUUCAAAUCAGAUACAAGUGCAACAAAAUAUAGACAUGACAAGCUACUGAGCUCUCACAUUUGAAUGCUAAUGUUCCUUUGUAGACAUGGGUUUAUUACCAUGGUGC